UACAGAGGGUGCAAGCGUUAAUCGGAAUUAUUGGGCGUAAAGAGCUCGUAGGCGGUUUGUCGCGUCUGCCGUGAAAUCCCGAGGCUCAACCUCGGGUCUGCAGUCGAUACGAGCAAACUAGAGUGUUGCAGGGGAGACUGGAAUUCCUGGUGUAGCGGUGAAAUGCGCAGAUAUCAGGAGGAACACCGGUGGCGAAGGCGGGUCUCUGGGCAACAACUGACGCUGGAGGAGCGAAAGCGUGGGGAGCGAACAGG
rnacentral:rRNA from 1 species